rnacentral:rRNA from 1 species
AUACGGAGGAUCCGAGCGUUACCCGGAUUUAUUGGGUUUAAAGGGUGCGCAGGCGGCCAUUUAAGUCAGCGGUUAAAUCGUGGGGCUCAACCCCAUUCUGCCGUUGAUACUGGGUGGCUUGAUUGCGGUCGAGGUUGGCGGAAUUCGUUGUGUAGCGGUGAAAUGCAUAGAUAUGACGAAGAACACCGAUUGCGUAGGCAGCUGACCAGACCGCAAAUGACGCUCAUGCACGAAAGUGCGGGGAUCGAACAGGAUUAGAUACCCUGGUAGUCCGCACAGUAAACGAUGAAUACUUGUUUUCGGCGAUAUAAUGUCGGAGGCAAAGCGAAAGCGAUAAGUAUUCCACCUGGGGAGUACGCCGGCAACGGUGAAACUCAAAUGAAUUGACGGGG